CUACACGGGUAUCUAAUCCUGUUUGCUCCCCACGCUUUCGCGUCUCAGCGUCAGUGUCCGUCCAGGUCGCCGCCUUCGCCACUGGUGUUCCUCCCGAUAUCUACGAAUUUCACCUCUACACCGGGAAUUCCGCGACCCUCUCCGGCACUCAAGUCCAAAAGUUUCCUGCGCACUUCCUUGGUUAAGCCAAGGGCUUUCACACAGGACUGCUUGGACCGCCUACAAGCGCUUUACGCCCAAUAAUUCCGAACAACGCUCGCACCCUCUGUAUUACCGCGGCUGCUGGCAC
rnacentral:rRNA from 1 species